rnacentral:rRNA from 1 species
GACUCUCGGCAACGGAUAUCUCGGCUCUCGCAUCGAUGAAGAACGUAGCGAAAUGCGAUACUUGGUGUGAAUUGCAGAAUCCGUGAACCAUCGAGUCUUUGAACGCAAGUUGCGCCCGAGGCCUCCUGGUCGAGGGCACGUCUGCCUGGGUGUCA